rnacentral:misc_RNA from 1 species
GAUGAAGAACGCAGCGAAAUGCGAUAAGUAAUGUGAAUUGCAGAAUUCAGUGAAUCAUCGAAUCUUUGAACGCACAUUGCGCCCCUUGGUAUUCCGAGGGGCAUGCCUGUUCGAGCGUCAUUAUAACCCCUCAAGCUCAGCUUGGUGUUGGGGCCUGCUGCACUGGCAGCCCUUAAAAUCAGUGGCGGCGCCAUCUGGCUCUAAGCGUAGUAAUUCUUCUCGCUAUGGAGUCCUGGUGGAUGCUUGCCAUCAACCCCCAAUUUUUCUAUGGUUGACCUCGGAUCAGGUAGGGAUACCCGCUGAACUUAAGCAUAUCAAUAAACGGAGGA